rnacentral:tRNA from 1 species
UUAAUUGAAGCCAAAAAAGAGGCAUAUUACUGUUAAUAAUAAGAUUGAAUAUUUUAUUCCAAUUAAG